rnacentral:tRNA from 1 species
CAGAGAAUAGUUUAAUUAAAAUAUUAGUUUUGGAGGUUAAUGAUAGGAUAUCCUUUCUCUGA